rnacentral:rRNA from 1 species
UCGUUAAACCUCACCCUCCCUUGUUUUUUCCGCCUAUAUACCGCCGUCGUCAGCUUACCCUAUGAAGGAACAAUAGUAAGCUAAAUUGGUACAACCUAAAACGUCAGGUCGAGGUGUAGCGCAUGAGAGGGGAAGAAAUGGGCUACAUUCACUACUAUAGUGAACACGAAUGAUGGACUGAAAUUUCCAUCUGAAGGAGGAUUUAGCAGUAAGCAGAGAAUAGAGUGCUCCGCUGAAACCGGCUCUAAAGCGCGCACACACCGCCCGUCACCCUCCCCGACCUAAUAUUUCCAAUAAUUAAUAACCUAACAACUGUUAAGGGGAGGCAAGUCGUAACAUGGUAAGUGUACCGGAAGGUGCACUUGGACAAAC